GGGGAGUGGGCGUUGGAGACACGGGUAUCCACCAUCUGCUAGGAUGAAAUGCCCUGGAGGAGGGUAGACCGUCUACCUGUAUAGUGGGCUGUGGCGGAGCACCCUGGAGUCAUGCACCGACCCAGGCCAGCCCACAUAGUUGUCAAUGAAGCAGCCCCGAUGGUCACACACAGCCUGCAGGAUGAUGGAGGGGAACAGUUUUCUGUUUCUGUAGCAGUGACCAUCGGGGCCGCUAGGAGGCUCGAUCCUGAUGUGGCAUCCGUCGAUGGCACCUGCAGCUCUCAGGAAAGCUCCCUGCCGUGCCAGCCCUGCAAACCCUCGGGACACCACCUCCAGGUCCUCGGGGGUUUUCGGAAGGUGAAUGACCUUAUGGCGGAUGGCCACCACCUCCUCAGUGAGUCUGUGGACGAUGCAGUGGACAGUGGAACGAGGCGUCCCAAACACUCUGGAGACCACCCUGUAGGAUGCUCCGCUCGCCAACCAGAAAAGGAAAACCAGGGUCUUAAUUACAGCACCCCAUCCAUGUCGCCGGUCCUGGUCCAGAAGAUUAAGCAGGACUGUAAAAGAUGUCUUGCUUAGCCGGAAGUCUGGCCUCGUGUCCUCCAAGUUAAAAUAACGCUCCAGUAAUGGCAGACUGAGGUUUACCCGACAGUACUGGGGUUUGGUCUAGUUAAAAAGAAAAGAAAAACAAUGUAUUAGUGAAAAUAUGUGGUUUUGUUUUUUUAAGACCAUAAAACAUCAUUAUACUUAGAUGAACAUGUGGAUAGCCAAAUGCUUAAAUACUAAUUGUUCUUAUUUCUAAUAAGAGUAAGGUAAAAUUCUUUAAAAUAAUUUUUCAACAAAAAAAAAAAAUUAAGAAUAUAAAAUGAACAUUUAACACUAUUGUAAUCUGAUUACUAGACGAGUACAAAUACUUUACGCUCAGAUUUACAGCAAUAACUUGUGUCAAACAAUAAGAAACAUCUGCGUCAGUAAUUGUAUAUUCUACAACCUGUAAUGAAGUUGCUAAAUAAAUACACCCAUCAAACUAGCUAAAGCUAAUAAGUAAAAAGAGCUUGUUUUUUUUCUUUCUUUUUUUUUUUUUAAUACUGUACCAGCGCAUUGUGCUGUCUCAGGCGGAACAAAAGCAGAUGCCUUCUACGGCGAUGCAAUUCUUCUAACUCCUCAAGCAGCAAAAGCUGAAUGGGGAAGAAAAGAACCAGCGACUCGAACUCCAUCAUUUCCAACCGCUCGAAACACCUCUAGCUAGGCUACAGGAAGUUAGCCGUUGGUAAUAGCGGGAAUUAUCAAGAAGGCUAGACCGUCCAAAUUCACAGUCCGUAACAUCUGGUAUACCAGCUCUGUGGAGGAUCCGCCCAUCGGCGACCACUAAUGCCACGGCCUCAGGAGGAUGCAGUACCUGAAUUUGGACACAGCCGUUGUCCUCCUCAAGAAUGACCGAGUCAGGAGAAAUCAGUGGCCACUUGGAGUGAUUUCCAAGACCCUUCCAGACACAGAUGGUGAUGUACGCAAAGUGGAAGUCAGAGUGGUUCAUGACAAGAAUCCCAAAACCUUCAACACGCCGGUUGCUGAAUUUGUGUUAUUACUCUGGCCAGAAGACUAAGUGUGUGGCAUCAUUGUAGAUGCCAGGCGGGGAGUGUUCUGGACUGUCGUUCAUCUCCCUGCUGCUUUUGGACUGCUCCCCCUGCUGGCACAGUUUGAUAUCACAGUGUGACAUCAUCAGAGCACGUGACUGAAUGUGCAGUCUUGGCAUGGCUUCACCACAUGUGGAUGUGGCAUCUCCAUCCAGUGUCAUCAGGUGUCCAGUGUCAUUUAGGUGCAAUGCUAUUUCACACUUCCCUUUAUUAAACGUCCAGUUCGACACACAAGUCUGUCCCAGGAGUUUGAUUUGGAGGAAGAGUUUAGCUGGCGGUGAGCACCUGACAUAGGGCUCUGAGUCGACGUUGGGCUGUAACAGCACAAUUUAUAAGUUAAGUAAACGAAAAUUUAAUAAUUUUAAAUGUAACAAAUUAAUUAAUGCAACAUUUCAUUUUUUACAGUGUAGCUCCAACCUCAGCAUCAUCAGUGUCCCUCCAGAAUAACUAUCAUGAUCACAGUAUUUGAUAAAAAUCGAUUUAAAUGCAUUUCCCUUCUACGUGAUGAAACAAAAAACUCAAAAAUGGAUAGUUAUGUCCUCCUCCGGCCACCAGAGGGAGCCGUCACCUGAGUACUUACUGCAUCAGUCAUCCUCUUGUAUUCCAAUUCCCAUCAUGCAUCAGCCACUGUCUUCCUGUUACCACUAGCUGUUGGUCAUCCUCAUCAGUUCUGGAUAUAUUCCUGCUCCUCUCUGUGAAGUGUAAAGUCUUGUUACUGUGUGUGUUCAGCCUGAGCGUAUUUUCUGUGUUUGACUCCUUUUCUCUCAGUGUUUAUGUUCUUUGAUUGACUGUAAUAUUUUAAAAGUCCUUCAGAAUCGACUGGGAUUAUCGUGUUAACAGUUGAAACGUUACAGAUUUGGUGUUUAAGGUCACCGAUGACGCCUCUUCUUUCCCUUUAGAAAAGGUCAUUUCAUUCAUUUUUGAAAAAUAUUCUCAAAGCAAUAAAAACAUUUAAACUCUUUGUAAGCUUUUCACUUCCUUUAUUUUUUUUCAAGCAAAUCCAUGUACAUUCCCCGCGUUAAGGAUUGGCAAAAACCACCAGUAAAUCUUACCGACUCUUAAAAACUGUUUUACAAAAAGAUCCUGAAACUGUCCACUAACAUAGGGAUUGUUCAUUUAUUUUAUAUAUAUAUAUAUUUAUACUGUAUUUUACAGUACAGUGAUGGAUAGGUAACAUGAGUGCAGAACACUAUGCAGUAAUACAUUAAUAACUGUUUGAAGGCUGUCGGGUUACCACGGUAACAACAGACUUAUUGAUAUUUCUACAAAAA